rnacentral:rRNA from 1 species
AAUAGAUACCCCGGUACGUCCACGCCGUAAACGAUGGAUACUAGCUGUUGGAGGUAUCGACCCCUUCGAGUAGCGAAGCUAACGCGUUAAGUAUCCCGCCUGUGGAGUACGGUCGCAAGACUAAAACAUAAAGGAAUUGACGGGGACCCGCACAAGCGGUGGAUCAUGUUCUUUAAUUCGAUGAUAAACGAAGAACCUUACCAGGGUUUGACAUCCCGAGAAUUAAUCCGAAAGGAUUGAGUGCCCCGUAGUUAUUUGAACGCUAUGACUUUUAGUUAUAGAUAAGGUUGAGAUAAGUACGGGGAACUCGGUGACAGAUGAUGCAUGGCCGUCGUCAGCUCGUGUCGUGAGAUGUUUGGUUAAGUCCAUCAACGAGCGCAACCCUUGUAGUUAGUUGUAUUUUUCUAGCUAGACUGCCCCGGUAACGGGGAGGAAGGAGGGGAUGAGGUCAGGUCUGUAUUUCUCUUAUGCCUUGGGCUACGAACACGCUACAAUGGCCGGUACAAGGGCUGCCAACCCGGCGAGGGGAGCAAAUCCCAUCAAAACCGGUCCCAGUUCGGAUAGCAGG